GUCUGAUACCCAUUUCAAAUGCGAAGCAAACCUCCUACUGGGUUUGUGAAAGUGGAAUUAAACACUCCUCCAGAAGACCUUUAAUGUGGUUUUUUAACAAGACACAGGAAGAAUGCCCAUCCAAUUGUCAAGGUCUUGGACAAUCUGACCUGACAAUGUCACCAAGCGACCAACAUCUCUCAAGACUUGCAUAUCAGCUGGAUAUAAAUAGUUGUAAAGAGUUGAUGGUUCAUCUUGGGUUACAACUGAG